rnacentral:rRNA from 1 species
GCAUAUCAAUAAGCGGAGGAAAAGAAACCAACAGGGAUUGCCUCAGUAACGGCGAGUGAAGCGGCAGCAGCUCAAAUUUGAAAUCUGGCCCUCUCAGGGUCCGAGUUGUAAUUUGUAGAAGAUGCUUCGGGUGUGGCUCCGGUCUAAGUUCCUUGGAACAGGACGUCAUAGAGGGUGAGAAUCCCGUAUGUGACUGGCCGCCUUCGCCUAUGUGAAGCUCUUUCGACGAGUCGAGUUGUUUGGGAAUGCAGCUCAAAAUGGGUGGUAAAUUUCAUCUAAAGCUAAAUACUGGCCAGAGACCGAUAGCGCACAAGUAGAGUGAUCGAAAGAUGAAAAGCACUUUGGAAAGAGAGUUAAACAGUACGUGAAAUUGUUGAAAGGGAAGCGCUUGCAACCAGACUUGCACGCGGUCAAUCAUCCGGUGUUCUCACUGGUGCACUUGACCGCGUUCAGGCCAGCAUCGGUUCCGGUGGCGGGAUAAAGGCCUUGGGAACGUAGCUCCUCUCGGGGAGUGUUAUAGCCCUCGGUGCAAUGCCGCCUACCUGGACCGAGGACCGCGCUUCGGCUAGGAUGCUGGCGUAAUGGUUGUAAGCGACCCGUCUUGAAACACGGACCAAGGAGUCUAACAUCUAUGCGAGUGUUUGGGUGUCAAACCCAUACGCGUAAUGAAAGUGAACGGAGGUGAGAACCCUUGAGGGUGCAUCAUCGACCGAUCCUGAUGUCUUCGGAUGGAUUUGAGUAAGAGCAUAGCUGUUGGGACCCGAAAGAUGGUGAACUAUGCCUGAAUAGGGUGAAGCCAGAGGAAACUCUGGUGGAGGCUCGCAGCGGUUCUGACGUGCAAAUCGAUCGUCAAAUUUGGGCAUAGGGGCGAAAGACUAAUCGAACCAUCUAGUAGCUGGUUCCUGCGA